rnacentral:rRNA from 1 species
AGCUACAGGCUUAACACAUGCAAGUCGAGGGGCAGCAUUUUAGUUUGCUUGCAAACUGAAGAUGGCGACCGGCGCACGGGUGAGUAACACGUAUCCAACCUACCGAUAACUCCGGAAUAGCCUUUCGAAAGAAAGAUUAAUACCGGAUAGCAUACGAAUAUCGCAUGAUAUUUUUAUUAAAGAAUUUCGGUUAUCGAUGGGGAUGCGUUCCAUUAGUUUGUUGGCGGGGUAACGGCCCACCAAGACUACGAUGGAUAGGGGUUCUGAGAGGAAGGUCCCCCACAUUGGAACUGAGACACGGUCCAAACUCCUACGGGAGGCAGCAGUGAGGAAUAUUGGUCAAUGGGCGAGAGCCUGAACCAGCCAAGUAGCGUGAAGGAUGAAGGCUCUAUGGGUCGUAAACUUCUUUUAUAUGGGAAUAAAGUUUUCCACGUGUGGAAUUUUGUAUGUACCAUAUGAAUAAGGAUCGGCUAACUCCGUGCCAGCAGCCGCGGUAAUACGGAGGAUCCGAGCGUUAUCCGGAUUUAUUGGGUUUAAAGGGAGCGUAGGUGGAUUGUUAAGUCAGUUGUGAAAGUUUGCGGCUCAACCGUAAAAUUGCAGUUGAAACUGGCAGUCUUGAGUACAGUAGAGGUGGGCGGAAUUCGUGGUGUAGCGGUGAAAUGCUUAGAUAUCACGAAGAACUCCGAUUGCGAAGGCAGCUCACUAGACUGCCACUGACACUGAUGCUCGAAAGUGUGGGUAUCAAACAGGAUUAGAUACCCUGGUAGUCCACACAGUAAACGAUGAAUACUCGCUGUUUGCGAUAUACAGUAAGCGGCCAAGCGAAAGCAUUAAGUAUUCCACCUGGGGAGUACGCCGGCAACGGUGAAACUCAAAGGAAUUGACGGGGGCCCGCACAAGCGGAGGAACAUGUGGUUUAAUUCGAUGAUACGCGAGGAACCUUACCCGGGCUUAAAUUGCAACAGAAUAUAUUGGAAACAGUAUAGCCGUAAGGCUGUUGUGAAGGUGCUGCAUGGUUGUCGUCAGCUCGUGCCGUGAGGUGUCGGCUUAAGUGCCAUAACGAGCGCAACCCUUAUCUUUAGUUACUAACAGGUUAUGCUGAGGACUCUAGAGAGACUGCCGUCGUAAGAUGUGAGGAAGGUGGGGAUGACGUCAAAUCAGCACGGCCCUUACGUCCGGGGCUACACACGUGUUACAAUGGGGGGUACAGAAGGCGGCUACCUGGUGACAGGAUGCUAAUCCCAAAAACCUCUCUCAGUUCGGAUCGAAGUCUGCAACCCGACUUCGUGAAGCUGGAUUCGCUAGUAAUCGCGCAUCAGCCAUGGCGCGGUGAAUACGUUCCCGGGCCUUGUACACACCGCCCGUCAAGCCAUGAAAGCCGGGGGUACCUGAAGUACGUAACCGCAAGGAGCGUCCUAGGGUAAAACUGGUAAUUGGGGCUAAGUCAU